rnacentral:tRNA from 1 species
GGGCGAUUAGCUCAGUUGGGAGAGCGCAUGCUUCGCAUGUAUGAGGUCGAGGGUUCGAAUCCCUUAUCGUCCACCA